rnacentral:rRNA from 1 species
GUUAGGAAUAUUGGACAAUGGGCGAAAGCCUGAUCCAGCCAUGCCGCGUGAACGAUGAAGGCCUUCGGGUUGUAAAGUUCUUUAGCCGAUGAUUAUAAUGACUGUAGUCGGAAAAUAAGCCCCGGCUAACUUCGUGCCAGCAGCCGCGGUAAUACGAAGGGGGCGAGCGUUAUUCGGAAUCACUGGGCGUAAAGCGUGCGUAGGCGGUUUUGUAAGUUAGGAGUGAAAGCCCAGGGCUCAACCUUGGAAUUGCUCUUAAAACUGCAAGGCUCGAAUCUCGGAGAGGAUAGCGGAAUUUCCAGUGUAGCAGUGAAAUGCGUAGAUAUUGGAAGGAACACCAGUGGCGUAAGCGGCUAUCUGGACGAGUAUUGACGCUGAGGCACGAAAGCGUGGGGAUCAAACAGGAUUAGAAACCCCGGUAUCC